AACGAACGCUGGCGGCAUGCCUAACACAUGCAAGUCGAACGAGACCUUCGGGUCUAGUGGCGCACGGGUGCGUAACGCGUGGGAACCUGCCCUUAGGUUCGGAAUAACUCCCCGAAAGGGGUGCUAAUACCGGAUAAUGUCUUCGGACCAAAGAUUUAUCGCCUUUGGAUGGGCCCGCGUUGGAUUAGCUAGUUGGUAGGGUAAAAGCAUACCAAGGCGACGAUCCAUAGCUGGUCUGAGAGGAUGAUCAGCCACACUGGGACUGAGACACGGCCCAGACUCCUACGGGAGGCAGCAGUGGGGAAUAUUGGACAAUGGGCGAAAGCAUGAUCCAGCAAUGCCGCGUGAGUGAUGAAGGCCUUAGGGUUGUAAAGCUCUUUUACCCGGGAUGAUAAUGACAGUACCGGGAGAAUAAGCUCCGGCUAACUCCGUG
rnacentral:rRNA from 1 species